rnacentral:rRNA from 1 species
UACAGAGGUCUCAAGCGUUGUUCGGAUUCAUUGGGCGUAAAGGGUGCGUAGGUGGCGGGGCAAGUUUGGUGUGAAAUCCCGGGGCUCAACCCCGGAACUGCACUGAAUACUGCCUUGCUUGAGCACUGGAGAGGGAACUGGAAUUUACGGUGUAGCAGUGAAAUGCGUAGAUAUUGUAAGGAAGACCAGUGGCGAAGGCGAGUUCCUGGACAGUUGCUGACACUGAGGCACGAAGGCUAGGGGGGCAAACGGG